rnacentral:rRNA from 1 species
AUGGCUCAGGAUGAACGCUGGCGGCGUGCCUAACACAUGCAAGUCGAACGAAGCAAUUGAAGGAAGUUUCGGAUGGAAUUCGAUUGACUGAGUGGCGGACGGGUGAGUAACGCGUGGAUAACCUGCCUCACACUGGGGGAUAACAGUUAGAAAUGACUGCUAAUACCGCAUAAGCGCACAGUACCGCAUGGUACAGUGUGAAAAAACUCCGGUGGUGUGAGAUGGAUCCGCGUCUGAUUAGCCAGUUGGCGGGGUAACGGCCCACCAAAGCGACGAUCAGUAGCCGACCUGAGAGGGUGACCGGCCACAUUGGGACUGAGACACGGCCCAAACUCCUACGGGAGGCAGCAGUGGGGAAUAUUGCACAAUGGGCGAAAGCCUGAUGCCAGCGACGCCGCGUGAGUGAAGAAGUAUUUCGGUAUGUAAAGCUCUAUCAGCAGGGAAGAAAAUGACGGUACCUGACUAAGAAGCCCCGGCUAACUACGUGCCAGCCGCAGC